AAAAAUAAAGGAAGAGAUAAACAAGAAAACUUAUCAUGAUCUUUCCAAGUUGUAAAGAUGUAAAGCAUGCAGCUUUUAAACCAGUCCCUUGUCCCUAAUCCCCAGACAUGGCCACCUCUUUCAGGUACCUAUUCAAACAAUGUAAAAACUAAAACCCUGCCACCUUCCUGGUUACUCCCUCUUUCUCAUGAUUAAAUGAACCCAUAAAGUCCCUUCUAGGACUAGUACCGUAUAUAUUUAAUUAAGGGGCCAUCAUCAAAUUUGGUGUUAAGUAGGAAAAGAAGAGAAGAAGGAGGUAGAUAUCCAUCAAGGCCUACGAUUGCAUUGGAGGGUGACAAACUACAGUUGAUCAAGACUAAGCAAAAUCAAUGAGGAGAUCAGCAUCAAGGAAAAUGUUGUGGUGGGUACUGGUGCCUGGUACAAGAAAGAAGAGUUUGAAGGCUGAAUCGAGGAUGGACAUUGAGGAAAUACUCAAGAUGAAGCUUGCGACCAUCAUAGAAGAAGAGCCAGAAACUAUUGAUCAGGAAAAUGGUGGAAUACUCACAACCAAGCAUAAUUCAUCAUGCGUGAGCAAAAAGGGCAAAAAGAUUCAUCUCAAGAGGAGGAUUGCAUGGACUCCCUCGAUGCUAAUAAGACCAUGUUAAUUAGAUUUCAGCAGCAGCAUCAAGACCUGAAGCAGGUGAAUCUUUUGAGUGCUUCUUCAGCAUCUUUUUUCUUUUUCAACUGCUGAUAUGUAAAUUCCUUUGUCACUCCUUCUGUGAACUCCAUAUUGUCUCAAUGGCUGCUGGCAGAGUCGUUUUCCUAAUUGUUGACAAGUUGCAAGAAGCAGCAUCUCAAAUUUAGAGAUAUGAUCAUGUUCUUGUUCACAUUCGAAUUGUUUAUUUAGCUUUGUUGUACAACACUGAUUCCUCUGGUUGUAUUACUGAAUGGGACCUUAGUUAGGAUUUUUGUGUUUCUUGUUCAGCUGGACAUGUCUUAUAUAUUGAUAUGUUUUGUGGAGCAAAACCUUUAAGGAUUGACAAUAGUGCAAAAGAAUCCAGAAGCUGAUUAAAUUCAGUGAUGGCGACUUACCUAAUAUAUUCAAUUCUUGUUUUCA